GACGAACGCUGGCGGCGUGCUUAACACAUGCAAGUCGAACGGUGAAGCGCCUUCCUUUUUGGUGGGUGUGGAUGAGUGGCGAACGGGUGAGUAACACGUGAGUAACCUGCCCCCUUCUUCUGGAUAACCGCAUGAAAGUGUGGCUAAUACGGGAUAUUCUGGGUCUGUCGCAUGAUGGGUCUGGGAAAGAUAUUGUUUCGGUGGGGGAUGGGCUCGCGGCCUAUCAGCUUGUUGGUGGGGUGAUGGCCUACCAAGGCGGUGACGGGUAGCCGGCUUGAGAGGGUGGACGGUCACACUGGGACUGAGACACGGCCCAGACUCCUACGGGAGGCAGCAGUGGGGAAUAUUGCACAAUGGGCGCAAGCCUGAUGCAGCGACGCCGCGCGAGGGAUGGAGGCCUUCGGGUUGUGAACCUCUUUCGCCAGUGAAGCAGGCCUGCCUCGUUUGUGGGUGGGUUGACGGUAGCUGGAUAAGAAGCGCCGGCUAACUACGUG
rnacentral:rRNA from 1 species